UGGUGUGUGUAUGUCCUGGUACCAAUAGAAUAACUUAGAUUGAAAUUGAAAAGCAGGGGUAAAUGAUGCCUACCUAACCUACAAAAAAGAAAAUGAAACAUUUUGCAUUUUAUGCAUAGUAAUCAGACUAACCUACACAAUUUUAUU